AGUCAGAGGCGAUGAAGGACGUGCUAAUCUGCGAUAAGCGUCGGUAAGGUGAUAUGAACCGUUAUAACCGGCGAUUUCCGAAUGGGGAAACCCAGUGUGUUUCGACACACUAUCAUUAACUGAAUCCAUAGGUUAAUGAGGCGAACCGGGGGAACUGAAACAUCUAAGUACCCCGAGGAAAAGAAAUCAACCGAGAUUCCCCCAGUAGCGGCGAGCGAACGGGGAGCAGCCCAGAGCCUGAAUCAGUGUGUGUGUUAGUGGAAGCGUCUGGAAAGGCGCGCGAUACAGGGUGACAGCCCCGUACACAAAAAUGCACAUGCUGUGAGCUCGAUGAGUAGGGCGGGACACGUGGUAUCCUGUCUGAAUAUGGGGGGACCAUCCUCCAAGGCUAAAUACUCCUGACUGACCGAUAGUGAACCAGUACCGUGAGGGAAAGGCGAAAAGAACCCCGGCGAGGGGAGUGAAAAAGAACCUGAAACCGUGUACGUACAAGCAGUGGGAGCACGCUUAGGCGUGUGACUGCGUACCUUUUGUAUAAUGGGUCAGCGACUUAUAUUCUGUAGCAAGGUUAACCGAAUAGGGGAGCCGAAGGGAAACCGAGUCUUAACUGGGCGUUAAGUUGCAGGGUAUAGACCCGAAACCCGGUGAUCUAGCCAUGGGCAGGUUGAAGGUUGGGUAACACUAACUGGAGGACCGAACCGACUAAUGUUGAAAAAUUAGCGGAUGACUUGUGGCUGGGGGUGAAAGGCCAAUCAAACCGGGAGAUAGCUGGUUCUCCCCGAAAGCUAUUUAGGUAGCGCCUCGUGAAUUCAUCUCCGGGGGUAGAGCACUGUUUCGGCAAGGGGGUCAUCCCGACUUACCAACCCGAUGCAAACUGCGAAUACCGGAGAAUGUUAUCACGGGAGACACACGGCGGGUGCUAACGUCCGUCGUGAAGAGGGAAACAACCCAGACCGCCAGCUAAGGUCCCAAAGUCAUGGUUAAGUGGGAAACGAUGUGGGAAGGCCCAGACAGCCAGGAUGUUGGCUUAGAAGCAGCCAUCAUUUAAAGAAAGCGUAAUAGCUCACUGGUCGAGUCGGCCUGCGCGGAAGAUGUAACGGGGCUAAACCAUG
rnacentral:rRNA from 1 species